rnacentral:piRNA from 1 species
UGAGCAUAACUCUAACCAGAGGCAAGCUU